rnacentral:rRNA from 1 species
GGAUUCCCCCAGUAAUGGCGAAUGAAGAGGGAAAAGCCCAAAUUUGUAAUCUGGCUCUUUCAGAGUCUGAGUUGUAAUUUUGAGAACUGUUUUCAGUGYUGGACCAUGUAUAAGUCUGUUGAAAAGCAGCAUCAUAGAAGGUGAUAAUCCUGUUCAUGAUAUGGACUACCAGUGCAAUAUGAUACAGUUUCUAAGAGUCGAGUUGUUUGGGAAUGCAGCUCAAAGUGGGUGGUAAAUUCCAUCUAAGGCUAAAUAUAGGUAAGAGACCGAUAGCAAACAAGUACCGUGAGGGAAAGAUGAAAAGAACUUUGGAAAGAGAGUUAACAGUACGUGAAAUUGUUAAAAGGGAAACAAUUGAAGUUAGACUUGUUAUUAUUAGUUCAACCUUUUUCAAAGGAGUAUUCUAAUGAUUAACAGACCAACAUCAAUUUUUGAGUGUUGGAUAAGGGUUUAAGGAAAUGUAGCAGUCUCUGACUGUGUUAUAGACCUGAGCUUUGAUACAAUGCUUAAGAUUGAGGAAUGCA